rnacentral:rRNA from 1 species
UACGGGGGGUGCAAGCGUUAUUCGGAAUUAUUGGGCGUAAAGGGCGCGUAGGCGGUUUUAUAAGUCAGAUGUGAAAGCCCCGGGCUUAACCCGGGAAGAGCAUUUGAAACUAUAUAACUUGAGUACGGUAGAGGAAAGCGGAAUUCCUGGUGUAGAGGUGAAAUUCGUAGCUAUCAGGAGGAACACCGGUGGCGAAGGCGGCUUUCUGGACCUGUACUGACGCUGAGGCGCGAAGGCGUGGGUAGCGAGCGGGAUUAGAUACCCCGGUAGUCCACGCAGUAAACGUUGUACACUUUGUGUUGCGGGUAUUGACCCCUGCAGUGCCGAAGCUAACGCGAUAAGUGUACCGCCUGGGGAGUACGGUCGCAAGACUAAA